AUGGAGAACUGUACCUGGCGCUAUGUGGACACAGACCAAAGUCCUGCAGAUGACCUGACAAGAGGUAAAACACUGGAAGAGCUCAAAGAUCCCAACAGGUGGUCCCAGGGACCUCCCUUCCUGCUGCAAAGCCCAGACAGCUGGCCAGAAAGGCCCAACGCUGAACCCCCAGAGGAUCACGCAGAGCUCCGAAGGACUGCCUUUUGCGGAGCUACAGUAACCUCACCUACUGACAGUGGGCCAGAUGAUAAAAGAGGCAAUUCCUGGCAAGAACUCAUGGACGACACUGUCAAGGAGCUCCAGGGAACGACCCCCUCUAGUCCCCCACCCACAGCUGAGGAUUAUCAGCAAGCCGAAACCGCAAUCCUACUGAGAUCUCAGAAGCAGUCCUUUCCUGAGGACUACAAGCUCCUGGCUGGAGGGAAACCAGUGUCACCUUCAAGUCGUCUACUCACCUUAGCCCCUGUCCUCGAUUCAACCUCUGGCUUAAUAAGAGUGGGUGGUCGGCUCAGACGGCUGGAGGGUGUUGACGUCCCCCUACAUCCUGUUGUCCUUGAUGCCGCUCAUCCCGUGACACAUCUGCUCAUCCGGAAGUAUGAUAGUGAUCUGCAUCACCCAGGUCCCGAGAGAGUUUUUUCAGAGCUGAGGAGAUCAUUCUGGAUCAUCAGAGGGCGAGAGGCAGUCCGUAAGCAUCAACGGGCCUGGGCUGAAUGUCAACGUUGGAGGAACCAGCCUUCUAUUCCGAGGAUGGCUGACCUUCCUGAUGCUCGCCUCAGAUUACACAAACCCCCCUUUUAUUCCACUGGUGUGGAUUGUUUCGGGCCCAUGAUGGUGAAAGUAGGCAGACGUCAAGAGAAACGCUGGGGAAUCAUCUUUAAGUGUUUAACGACCAGAGCCGUACAUCUGGAUCUCCUUAAGCACAUGGAUUCUGACGCCUAUUUGAUGGCAUUGAGAUGGUUCAUCACCAGAAGAGGGACUCCUGCUGAACUGUGGUCAGACCAAGGGACCAAUUUCAAAGGAGCUGAACGAGAACUCAGGGAAGCCUUCAAGAACAUGGUCCCAGCGUUGCGGCAGCGGCUUGCCCGUCAGAAGAUCAAGUUCCACUUUAACCCUCCUGCUGCUCCCCAUUUCGGUGGAGUAUGGGAGCGGGAAGUUCGGUCAGUCAAGUCAGCACUUUACACGUGUGUCGGAUCACAACCAGUUGCUGAAGAAGUGUUAGUCACCGUGCUCCUGGAAGUCGAGGCCAUCCUCAACUCAAAAACAUUAGGCUAUGUAUCAGCUGAUAUAGCCGACAUCGAUCCGGUGACACCAAACAGUUUGCUCAUGGGGCGGCCUGAUGGUUCGCUCCCUCAGGUGGUGUACCCGGAGACUGAGAUCUUAAGCCGUAGGCGCUGGCAGCAUUCACAGGUCCUGGCUGACCAAUUCUGGUCCCGAUUUAUAAGAGAAUACCUACCUGGUCUUCAGACGAGACAGAAGUGGCAGUCCUCUCCUCCUGAUCUGCCAGACGCGGCAGUCAUCAUGUUAGUGGAGCCACAGCUACCACGGUCCCAAUGGCCAGUUGGGAGUGUGGUCAAAGUCCAUCGUAGUGAUGAUGGUCGUGUCAGAUCAGCUGAUGUCAGCAUUAAAGGGCACAUCUUCACACGGCCAGUAGCCCGGUUAGUGAUGUUACCAGCUCUCCCACCUGGAGAGGAAGAUCCUCCUACAACCUCUAGACCCUCUAAGACUGACUGA
ensembl:lncRNA